rnacentral:lncRNA from 1 species
CCCAAUGCUCAAAGGCAUUCGGGAAACCCAGCCUUCAAAGACCCCUUGGGGAAGCACUGCUCGAAAACAUUGGGGAACUCAACCCUCAAAGAUCCCUUGGGGAACCCAAUGCUCGAAGAUGCUACGGAACCCAACACUCAAAGACCCCUCGGGGAACACAACACUCAAAAAUGUCAGGGAACCCAACGCUCAAAGACCCCUUGGGAAACCCAGCACUCAAAAACGUCGCGGAACCCAACCCUCAAAGGCAUCGUGGAACCCAACCCUCAAAGACCCCUCGAGGAACCCAAUGCUCAAAGAGCCCUUGGGGAACUCCAUUUCAAAAACACUCGAAGAACCCAACACUGAACAACCCAGGGAACCCAACACUGAACAACUCGGGGAACCCAACACUGAACAACUCGGGGAAUUCAAUGCUGAACAACCUGGGGAACCUAACGCUGAACAUCACGGGGAACCCAACACUGAACAUCACGGGGAACCCAACGCUGAACAUCACGGGGAACCCAACGCUGAACAUCACGGGGAACCCAACGCUGAAUAACCUGAGGAACUCAAUGCUGAACAUCACGGGGAACCCAACACUGAACAUCACGGGGAACCCAAUGCUGAACAUCACGGGGAACCCAGGGAACCCAACACUGAACAUCACGGGGAACCCAACACUGAACAUCACGGGGAACCCAGGGAACCCAACACUGAACAACUUGGGGAACCCAACGCUGAAUAACCUGAGGAACUCAAUGCUGAACAUCACGGGGAACCCAACGCUGAACAUCUUGGGGAACCCAAUGCUGAACAACUCAGAGAAACCAAUGCUGAACAUUACGGGGAACCCAAUGCUGAACAUCACGGGGAACCGAGCACUGAACAUUACAGGGACCCCAGGGAACCCAACACUGAACAACCUGGGGAACCCAACACUGAACAUCAUAGGGAAACCAGGGCUGAACAUCACAGGGAACCCAACACUGAACAACUCAGGGAACCCCACGCUGAACAUCUUGGGGAACCCAACGCCGCACAUCACAUCUUCGUGGUGAAGCCACGUCCUUACCCCCCCUCCUUGUUCUCCUCCUCCGCCGCCGUCUCCAUGGCCUCGGCCUCGGGCUGCUCCCCGCCGCCGACCUUCUCCUGCUCGUCGAUCCAAUCGGAGACGGCCUUGAGCGCGCGCUCGGUGUGGGACACCAUGUUCUGCACCGCCUCCAGCUCCUCCUGCGUCGGGUACACGGCGCUGUGCUUCGCCAUCACGUGGCGGUCGUCGUUCACGAAGAUCCGCAUCAGGCGCUGGGAGCAACGGGGCGCAGCUCAACCACGGCCCCACGCCGGCCCUC